rnacentral:rRNA from 1 species
GAUGAACGCUGGCGGCGUGCCUAAUACAUGCAAGUCGAGCGAACGGACGAGAAGCUUGCUUCUCUGAUGUUAGCGGCGGACGGGUGAGUAACACGUGGAUAACCUACCUAUAAGACUGGGAUAACUUCGGGAAACCGGAGCUAAUACCGGAUGAUAUUUUGAACCGCAUGGUUCAAAAGUGAAAGACGGUCUUGCUGUCACUUAUAGAUGGAUCCGCGCUGCAUUAUCUAGUUGGUAAGGUAACGGCUUACCAAGGCAACGAUGCAUAGCCGACCUGAGAGGGUGGUCGGCCACACGGGAACUGAGACGGGGUCCAGACUCCUACGGGAGGCAGCAGUAGGGAAUCUUACGCAAUGGGCGAGAGCAUGACGGAGCAAGGCCGCGUGAGUGAUGAAGGUCUUCGGAUCGGAAAGCUCUGUUAUUAGGGAAGAACAUAUGUGUAAGUAACUGUGCAGAUCUUGACGGUACCUAAUCAGAAAGCCACGGCUAACUACGUG